rnacentral:rRNA from 1 species
AACGAACGCUGGCGGCAUGCCUAACACAUGCAAGUCGAACGAGAACUCCGGGCCUAGUGGCGCAGGGGUGCGUAACGAGUGGGAACUUGCCCUUAGGUUCGGAAUAACUCACCGAAAGGGGAGUUAAUAACGGUUAAUGUCUUCGGACCAAAGAUUUAUUGCUUUUGGAUGGGCGCGGGUUGGAUUAGCCGGUUGGUAGGGUAAAAGCCUAGCAAGGCCACGAUGCAGAGCUGGUGUGUGAGGAUGAUCAGGCACGCUGGGGCUAAGACACGGCCCAGACUGCUACGGGACGGAGCAGAAGAGAAUAUUGUACGAUGGGCGAAAGCCUAGUCCAGCAAUGUCGCGUAAGUGAGCAAUGCGUUAGGAUUGUGAAGCUCUUUUUGCCGAGAUGAUAAUGACAGUACCGGGUAAAGAAGCUCCGGCUAACUCCGUG